UCAAAAUGGUAUAAAAAAUUAUGUAUUCAUAUUUCUUCUUCAUAAAAAAAUUCAACAAAGCACAUUUUAAAUGUAUUUUAAAAUAAUAAUAUAUUCACAUUUUAUUAAAAAUAAUUAAUGUAUACAUUGAGAAAGAGAUGUCUUCUCUCUAUAUAUAGAGAGAGAAAGGAAAAAAAAAGAGAUUGACUAAUUUAUAGGCUGGAUUAAUAAUAGAACGGAUAAAACUAUAUUCUAUAAAAAUUUAUCAAUACUAAAUAUAGUUGAAAUAAUUUGAUAUUUUGAAGUACUUCUCUGAGGGAGAGGGAGAGAGAGAGAGAGAAAGGGCUGAUGGGAUGAUGAUGAGAUACAGCUGUAAGGUGUGGUGGGUUUUGGGACCCUUGGCUUGCUUGCAGUUUGCACAAUAAUGGCAAAAGGAAAAAAAUGUAAUGAUUUGGAGUUUGAUUAUCUUUUUGGCUGCUCUUCUCUUCUUUCUCUUCAAUUCAACCCUUUUCUCAUUUCAUCAAUUGAUGGGAACUGCCAAUGCCCCCUCUUCUCAUCAUUACUACUUUUCUUAAUUAUUUCUACCAAUCAUACAACUUACAACAAUAUAUUCCUUAAUCAUUUUUUAAAUCUAAAAUAUUUAAAUUAAUAAUCAUACGUCAUCUUUCAUUUUAAGACUCUUCACUUACGCUGCGUUAACUCAAGGGUAAAUUACUGUUUACGCAUUAUUGGGAGUAAGAAAUGUAAGACAAAACUGUGUUCACAUUUGAGGAUUUGCGAAGACGGAAUCAAACGGAUUUGCGAGAUAUCUGAUUUUUCUAUCACUCGCUCUUAUGAGAUGAUUUGAUCGCUCUUAUGAGAUGAUUUGGGGUGAAUUGAAGGCCUUCGUUGCAGCAUAGUGUACGCUUGGAUUCAGUUUCAGGAUACGUUAUUCGGUUCAAGCAAGCUUCACUCAUUUUCCUCAGCCGCCUGUGCCGACCACCACCGAAAGGUGUGGUUAUUCGGUAGUUCAUCAAAGAAACGCGCCUGCCAUGGCGAGAACAACGUCAGGUGGCACAAUAACGAUUCACCACCCUUCCCUUCUCCGGCACACCUCAGCCCUUGCUCCUGCCGAUCGCCGCUUCCUCCAUCGUUCUCCGCAGAGACAGCAAAUGUCGUCUUCCCUCGCCCAAGGAUGCUGCUACAGCCACCACCCCAUGGCUGUCGGAUGCGGAGGUCGAUUUUUUAAUUUGUGCUUUCUUUGGUACCAAGGCAAAGGAAAUAAUAUUGCGAACUAAGCCAUGCUUGGAAUGAUAUAAAAAAUGAGAGAUUUGCAUUC